ensembl:lncRNA
AUUUCAGUCAUGCUUGUGUGGCUUUUAGUUUGGUUGAUCUCUGGCAGAGUUCCCUGGCAUCUCUCAUGGUUUGUGGCGCACUUGUGUGCAAGUCACCAGCACUCAAGAGCUCUAAUUCUCCAGUCUCUCUAAAGUUUUUAUUUUCCUAUUCUUAUCUUUUGAAGUCUAAGGAAAUAUGUGGCCAAACAGAUUUAGGACUUUUAGGACUUUUUAUGAUGUGAUAUUAGUCUGAGGAAAAAAAGGUGAAAAAAAGGAAACGGUUGGAGGCUGCUGCCCUCCCUCACCUAACUUGUCUCUGAAUCCUCUACUCUCGCGGUGAAGCUGGGGCAAAAUGGCGGGUUUAUAUUCUCUCUGCAUUCUGUCCACAUUCUUCAUGAUCACGCUGGCUGGGGACAAGGCCAUGCUGUGUGAGGAUAAGGACAGUCUCCUGGCGGAGAUAGCUGGGAAUGUGGAAAUACCGUCGGAGUGUGUGCUGCACUGCACGGCACUGACAUAUGGCAGAAUGCUGCUGAGACAGGACACACAGAGAGUUCGUUUCAAAUACUCUGACGCACGGGAGGAUGGAAAGUACUGCUGGUCCACGUGCAUCAGCUGCAAUGCAGGAGAGAGCUUGCUUCAGAUUUACGUCGUCUUGCCUGUACACAUGUCAGUUUUCAAUGGAGAACUUCAAAUCACCUCAGAGAAUAUACUGAAACCUCACAGAGGGCAAGCACCUCUUCCUGAUGAAUGUGGCCUGCGCUUUGAUGUCAUGGGCUACUUCAGUGGGACAAAGCGCGAGCCAACAUUCUGUGUCAAGGUGCUUCCACAGUACCUCACCCUGGGAGAGGGCCUGCGAUGCCACCCUUUCCUUGUGACAGUUUGGCAAAACCAAAACCACUCCCCAGUCAGUCAAGGUGAGGGGUGACUGAGAAUUUGGAAUCUACUCAAGACAUCUAGAUUAAUUUGCACAAUCUUUGUUUCUUAAUACCUUAUAGGACAUCUUCAUCAGUGACCUGUUGCAAGUCUUUACAUAACAGAGAAUUAGAAGAUAAAUGGCUAGCUCUAGUGCAUGGUUGCAGAAUGCUAUUUAUAGUCUGAUUAACCCUUUUAUGCAUGGUGUCCACAUUUGUGGACAGUUAAUUCAACUCCAUUUUAUCAUGAUGAAGCUCUCCAAAUCAUUUAGGGGCAGUAUUGCAAUAUUGUAACGGUAGUUACCAUCUCAGUCCAAGAUGUUGGAUGGUGGAAGCUAUGCACAAACUGCUUCAGGCGUAUUUGUAAAAAAAAUUCAAAUUCAAAUAGGUCAACUUGGUUAAACAAAAAUAUUAGUAUGCACAGAAAACUGUGAUGAAUGUGUACUGAUUAAAUUGAGAGAAAAAUGUAGUCUUUAUUCUUUCUAAAACUGUCCAUUUGUGGACGUCAUGCAGCAGUGGACUCAGAAUACAUUAAGUCUUGUUUGUGUAAUCUGCUAUUAUAUCUAUAAAAUGAUUUAAAUGAGCUUGUAUUAUACCUAAACAGAAUGACAAUUGCAAUGAUUGCACAGAAUAACACAGUAUUCCAUUAAAUUCUCAAUGUACACAUGCAUACACAGACAUAUUGUAUUUUUAUUCAACAUAACUUUAAAAAGGCAUGAUAUUCCUUAUUGUCAUGUUAUAUGUAACCUACUAUUUACUCCUUUGUUGGAUGGUGUCCACAUGCAUGGACAGUUAAAUAACUUUUUAAACAGACUUUUGGAAAAAAAUUAAAUGACUUUCAGUUUCAGCAUAAUAAACACAAUCUUUAAAAACUCUGGAUAAUAUUUGUCAUAAUUCAUGCAUGAAAUUCAUGCUUGUAAUUAAAAAAAAAAACACACAUUAUUUAGACAAAAAUCUCUGACAGACCAUGGACUGAAAGACACUUUUAUCAUAAAGUUCCAUCUGAAAUUGUGGGUUUUUCUAGAUACUGGCCUUAUUGGCUAGGGAAAUGCAUUGAUACCUUGACUGUGACUAGAAAAAUUGCCAAUGAAGCUGCUGUGCAUUUGUGUUAUUGAUUAAUGAACAUUGAAUGGUUGAACUACAGGUGUUGUUUUCCAUAUUUGUAAAAGAAAAUGGUAAAAUAAGAAAAAUGAGGAUGUUUGUGUUGAGUGUGCAUGUUUAAUCUUAGGAAGCAAGAACGAAUGAUGUGUCACAAUUGGGAUUGAAUGUCUAUGAAUAAAAAAAAAUAUGGAGGUACUAAUAAACAAACCUAAUGCCAAGACUACCAUAACUUUGUUUGGACUGCUCUGCUCUCUACUGUUCAUGUAGAACACAACAACUCAAGUUGCUAUAUCUAGUACUUCCACAUGAUGGCGCCCUGCACUUCUGAAAUAAGAUCAAUGAAUUGGCAAGAUCACUCCUGUCACCCUACCAUGAGUAGCAGUAGGGUAUACCAUUAAACAAAUCCACAUUAUUUUAGACUUGAGAUCUAUCAGCUUUAGAAAAGACAGGGUGAUCAGUGAUUUUCCCUCUUUCACUUUUUCGAAGGUAGAUGAAUGACAGCCCCUCUCAAGGCCUGUUAUUAAGAUUUGGAUGCAGGAAAGGCACAGAAAUGAGACACACACACACACACACACACACACACACACACACACUAGCCUAACACUAGCACUCACAAUCAAUGAGAAAC